rnacentral:rRNA from 1 species
GUCAGCAUCAGUAGCCGUACACUUAACCAGAUAGCCAGAUCUCUGGUGACGAGCGGCGGACGGGUGAGUAAUGUCUGGGAAACUGCCUGAUGGAGGGGGAUAACUACUGGAAACGGUAGCUAAUACCGCAUAAUGUCGCAAGACCAAAGUGGGGGACCUUCGGGCCUCAUGCCAUCAGAUGUGCCCAGAUGGGAUUAGCUAGUAGGUGGGGUAACGGCUCACCUAGGCGACGAUCCCUAGCUGGUCUGAGAGGAUGACCGCCUACACGACAAAAAACGAUAACUAUAUGGAGGAAGAGCAGGCUGGUAGUUGAAGGGGUCCCCCCGCCUCCAGCCCAUGAACACCCCGUGCUGUUCUAGAGUCCUUUUCCUUAUUGUCCCUCUUGCACUUUCAGCGGGGAGGAAGGCGGUGAGGUUAAUAACCUCACCGAUUGACGUUACCCGCAUAAUAAGCACCGGCUAACUCCGUGCCAGCACCCGCGGUAAUACGGAGGGUGCAAGCGUUAAUCGGAAUUACUGGGCGUAAAGCGCACUCACGCGGUCUGUCAAGUCGGAUGUGAAAUCCCAGGGCUCAACCUGGAAACUGCAUUCGAAACUGGCAGGCUAGAGUCUUGUAGAGGGGGAUAGAAUUCCAGGUGUAGCGGUGAAAUGCGUAGAGAUCUGGAGGAAUACCGGUGGCGAAGGCGGCCCCCUGGACAAAGACUGACGCUCAUGUGCGAAAGCGUGGGGAGCAAACACGAUUAGAUACCCUGGUAGUCCACGCCGUAAACGAUGUCAAUUUGGAGGUUGUGCCCUUGAGGCGUGGCUUCCGGACCUAACGCAUUAAUCGACCGCCUGGGGAGAACGGCCGCCCGGUUAAAAUCAAAGAAUUGCCGGGGCCCGCGCAGCAGCGGAGCAUGGUGUUUAAUUCUAGAACACAAAAAUCUAGCUGGUUUUGAUAUCCUCGAACUUGCUAAAAUUGAUUGGGUGGCUUUGUGGUCAGGGGGACAGU